ACAUACCCUAGACUUAUGAUCUAUUUCACAAAAACCUCCAAGUCUAAGGUGGUGGUAUUAAAAAGGAAUUGCAAACACACAAAAAAAAGAAAUAGAAACCACCUACUUCCAUGGAGAUAAGCAUACUCCCACGAAAAAUCCAGUGUAUAUGCAGGGGCAGCACUAUUCACCCGAAAUUUCAACAACAAUUCUUCUCUCUUCAUUCUCCCAUUUCUUUAUCUCAUUUCAGAGCUCCGAGUUUUUGCCAAAAAUGGCGGAAGCAACUCACCACUACUCGCUCAUUCGCCGACGAAGCUCAAGCUACUACUGCUGUAAAUUUGGAAGCUGAACCUGUUAGUGCUGAUGCAUCUGUUGCUGUAAAGAACAAGGCAACAGCUAUAUCUGCAGAUCUGAAAGGAACAUCGAUAUUCCUUGUCGGUAUGAGCAGUACAAUGAAGACCAGUGUGGGCAAGAUUCUUGCAGAUGAGUUACGAUAUUACUACUUUGAUAGUGAUAUGGUAGUUGAGGAGGCGGCUGGUGAGUAUUCUUCUGGCAAAUCUUUCAGAGAGAGGAAUGAAGAUGGUUUUCGUGAAUCAGAGUUUAUCUUGCAGACUGAGGUUUUGAAGCAAUUAUCGUCAUUGGGCCGAUUGGUUGUCAAUGCAGGAAAUGGUGCGGUUGAGACUGCAACUAAUUUGUCUCUUCUACGCCAUGGAAUUAUAAUAUGGAUAGAUGUUCCUCUAUACAUGAUAGCAAAGGAAUUUAUCAGAGAUGAUGAUCAAUCUACAAUGCCCAACAUAUCUACUUCAGAUUCCUUCUCUGAGGCAUUGGACCAGGUAACUCUGGUUUAUGAAGAAAACAGAGAAGGAUAUGCUACAGCAGAUGCAAUGAUCUCAGUUCAAGGGGUGGCUUCCAAACUUGCUUAUGAUGAAUUUGAGCAUGUCACUGCUGAAGACAUGGCAUUGGAGGUCUUGAAGCAGAUAGAGAAGCUUACAAGAGUCAGGAAGAUGAUGGAAGAAGCUGGAAGACCUUUUUAAUUGAAGUUUGCUUCUUUCUUUCGCUUUUUGUCUAAAUACUAACUUUUAACUUUAAAGCGCUGUUGAAAAUUCUCAUUCUUCCUAAAAAAGCAAAUUCAAACUCUUGGUGCCAAGCAUGAGAUAUUAUUCUUCCCGCUGAAAAAGCUACCGGUGUCGGGUGCAUAUUUUGUUAGAUUCUGUCUUUCAUUCUAAGCUUCAGCCUUUUUCUUCUUGAUUUGCUAAUUGUAAAGGAAGAAAAGCUUAAAAAGGGAAAAACCAAGUGAAAAUUGUCUAAAAAUGAUUAAUUUCAACUGUAUUACAAGGAGUCUUCAUUAUUUAUUUGGUUUAAAACUGAUUUAAUGGAAAAAGGUAUUUGCUGAAUUAGCUAAUAUGAAA